GAUUGCAUUUAUUUCCUUUUUGUAAUCGCGGCUG
rnacentral:ncRNA from 1 species